rnacentral:rRNA from 1 species
UACGUAGGGGGCGAGCGUUGUCCGGAUUUAUUGGGCGUAAAGAGCGUGUAGGCGGUUCGGUAAGUCUGUCGUGAAAUCCUGAGGCUCAACCUUGGACGUGCGAUGGAUACUGCCGGGCUAGAGGAUGGUAGAGGCGACUGGAAUUCCUGGUGUAGCGGUGGAAUGCACAGAUAUCAGGAGGAACACCGGUGGCGAAGGCGGGUCUCUGGGCAGUAACUGACGCUGAGGAGCGAAAGCGUGGGGAGCAAACAGG